AGCAGCCGCGGUAAUUCCAGCUCCAAUAGCGUAUAUUAAAGUUGUUGCAGUUAAAAAGCUGGUAGUUGAAUUUCGGGAGUGACACUUCGGUCGUGCCUUAAGGGGUGUGAACUGGUGUAGUCAAUUUCUCACCUUCUGGAGAACCGCGAUGUCCUUAAUUGGGUGCCGCGAGGAACCAGGACCUUUACUUUGAAAAAAUUAGAGUGUUUAAAGCAGGCAUUUUUGCUUGAAUACAUUAGCAUGGAAUAAUAAAAUAGGACGGCAUGAUUCUAUUUUGUUGGUUUCUAGGAUCACCGUAAUGAUUAAUAGGGAUAGUUGGGGGCAUUAGUAUUCAAUUGUCAGAGGUGAAAUUCUUGGAUUUAUUGAAGACUAACUACUGCGAAAGCAUUUGCCAAGGAUGUUUUCAUUAAUCAAGAACGAAAGUUAGGGGAUCGAAGACGAUCAGAUACCGUCGUAGUCUUAACCAUAAACUGUGCCGACUAGGAAUCAGACGAUGUUAAUUUUUUAAUGACUCGUUUGGCACCUUACG
rnacentral:rRNA from 1 species